CUUCUCUUCACUUUGCUAACUGGCUCCUCUCCAGUUUAAACAGAAGGCUCAAAAAAGUGUGUCAUGAAUAAUUCAUGCCCCCUGUAAUGAAGCAAGUACACUCUUUAAAGUGUUCUUCUGUAAUGGAGUUUCAGGGGCAGAGCUAUCAUUUUCUCUUAAUGGUGUUUUCUACGGGCGAACAAAACCCACUGAAACUGCACAUUACCACCAUCGUGCAGAAGGCCGAUUACCAGCAGCUGGUGCAGUUUUGUUGCGUAAAAGUGCCCAAUUUUCCUCAACCAUUUAAACAACAAAUAGAGGGGCUUGUAAAAUUGAACUCUCUGGCUGCCAAGCCUGGACUUGUCUUCAGCUGGGGUGUGCACACAGCUUCCGGAUUUUGAUCUGACUCAGCAGGAAGGGUCAGCUUCUUUAGAGACAGAGGUUUAAUGGUUGCCCUUUGGUGCUCGAGGUGAUGACACUGUGAUCAAAUGCAGACGUCUUGGGAAGCAGGUGCUGAAAGCAGACUGACUUAUGACUUUUUUUCCAUAGAGCUUUUUCUACAAUGCUAAUUACUUUGAAAAAAAUCCCCCCAAAACCAACAUUUGCUUCACAAUACAAAAUAAACAUUUAAGCGGGCUGCAUUUGGUGGAAUUGGUGGAAUACCAUCCAGCUAUAUUUUAUUUUAAAAAUCUGGGUAGUCACAGCAUGGUAUUGAAAGGUACUGUAUAAGAAUAGAGUCCUAAUAGUACAGACAUUUUCAAAUGUUUAACAUACAACAUUUGGGUUUUUCAACCUUAUUUUUGUUCAAUGCAUCGCUCCUUUACUCAAUAAUUCUUUCUACUGGCUUCAGUGUUACUUAGAUAAAUGGAAAUGCGUCCAGGUAAAUCAAAUAUCAGUAGAGACUAUUUGCAGUUGUCACAAAAAUAUUAUCAGGCCCACGGCAUAUCUUUCCCUUGGAUUUAAAAAAUCAUGAUAUUUUUGCAGUAAAAGUAGUCUUACUUUCUCUCUGUCUUAUUUCCCUAUUCAUACCCCCACUUUGUUUGUGGGCAGUGCUAUGUAUGUACUUAAUCACCAUGGAGACCAUGAACACCCAGAUGGAAAAUACUAUCCCAUGUUACUACCAAAUAAUUACAUUUAUUUCUUGUCUUCUAAAUAAAAACAUCAAAGA
rnacentral:lncRNA from 1 species